GUCCACGCCUUAAACGAUGGAUACUAAGUGUCGGCGGGUUACCGCCGGUGCCGCAGCUAACGCAGUAAGUAUCCCGCCUGGGAAGUACGGCCGCAAGGUUGAAACUCAAAGGAAUUGACGGGGCCCGCACAAGCGGUGGAGCAUGUGGUUUAAUUCGACGCAACGCGAAGAACCUUACCCAGGCUGGACAUGCAGGUAGUAGAAGGGUGAAAGCCUAACGAGGUAGCAAUACCAUCCUGCUCAGGUGCUGCAUGGCUGUCGU
rnacentral:rRNA from 1 species